GAAUGCAUUAGCUGGGCUUAUGCUCGAUGCAACGGUGUAAUAAUGUCUUUUCACCGGGGUAACUUGCAAUUGAAAGUCCGCUUCUCAUCGUCUCGCAUGAGACAUUGUAAAGGGAUUGAUUUCUCUUUGACACCUUUGACCUCAAAUCAGGUAGGACUACCCGCUGAACUUAAGCAUAUCAAUAAGCGGAGGAAAAGAAACUAACAAGGAUUCCCCUAGUAACUGCGAGUGAAGCGGGAAAAGCUCAAAUUUAAAAUCUGGCAGCUUCGUUGCCCGAGUUGUAAUCUGGAGAAGCGUUUUCCGCGC
rnacentral:rRNA from 1 species